UUUGCAUUUAACUCUAUAAAAAUGUCCAGAGUCUUUAGUAAAAAAUGACACAAAAGGAUCUCAAUGAGUUUUAUGAGGUGUCAAAGGUUGAUCCUGAUCCAGACAAAAUUCCAGAUACUGUGAUCCAGAACACACAAAAAUAAGGGUGUCAUUGGAAUUUUCAAUGCUGAAAGAUAACCAAUGGGCGGCACAGUGGUGUAGAUAGGCGGUACAGUGGUGUAGUGGUUAGCACUGUCACCUCACAGCCAGAAGGUCCUGGGUUUGAAUCCGGGUCAGGGCAUUUCUUGUUUUAGGAACAUGAUGAACAGUGAACAUACCAGUUUAAACACAAAUAAAAGUUAAUAAAAUACACGUAACAGUAAAAGUUUUGGUGUGAAUCACAAUAUAAGGGGGGACAUGAGCUGCUUGGCGGAGGUCUGUGCUCUCUGAGUGCUUUUCGAGUUGAAAAUGAGUCACUAUUGUUAUGAGGUUUGACCGAUUAUAAUCAAGAACUGAGCAGAGCCUGGUAAUCAUCAAGAAAGCCAGAUAAGAAUCAAACAGGUGUUGUUGUUUUGAGUUUGUCCAUUGUGUCAAACUCCAUUGUUUGUCCAUUUCAGUGUUUUUGUUUGCUGUAUCAUUCCUUGUUCCAAAGUGGAAAAGUGGUCGACAGUAAAACCAGAUGUAAAAGUCAAGUCUGAGCCACAAAGAGCAGAGAUAAUCCAAAAAAUUAAACAUGUUCUUUUUUCAAAAGAAAACAAAAUCUUUAUGAAUGAAAAGAGGAGUUUGAAUAAUUGGCACUGAUUUUGUACACUUUCAUGAUCUUUGUACUGCAUUUGAUUUGUUUUGCCGAACCUGUAGUCCUGAGGAAUUUCUGCACUUUCAGUUCUAUAGAUAGAGAGUAAAAAGUCAUUGAAAACUGAAGUCGAUCCUUCUCAAACAAACAACUUCACGCAGGCUAAGUGCUAUUGGAGAAGUUAUUUUGGCUCAACUAUUUCGGCAUCUUGUUGAACUCGAUCCUAUUAUGUCUAAAGUAUGCUUGAGAUGGUUGAUGGUACGGCUCAUGUUUCUGAAAGUCCUCUCUCAUCCAGCACACUUUUAACUCUACCAUUAAAUUACUACACCGACAUCCUCCAUGUUCUUUCUGUUUUCUAUCUUACAGCUGUUUCCAACUCCUACAGACACACAGGACAAAUGAAAACAUACACUGUUAAUUUUGCUUUGCAUAUGCACAUCUUGAAUACUAGUGCUUGUACAAACACUGUUAGGAGACUCUAAUAAUUAAACAAAUAUUAGCAGUGAGGGUGUGUUGAGUAGCACUCAUACCAAACACAAGUGUUCCCUCACAUUAGUGUUGAGAAGACCCAUCUUCAGAGAGCCAGAGGGAUCCUAUAUGUGUAGUGAUCAAGUGUUGGGAGAUAAAUCAUGUCUAUGCGUUUCAUUGUCGGGCAUAACGAUAACAUAUUACUGCUUGAAUCCAGAGAGACAACAUGAUGAGGCAAUUAACUGUGUGGGAUACACACUCAUCUAAUUAUUAGAAGUUUUGUUUGUGUUGGAGCUCCCUGGAGACUAAGGUGUAGGAGUUUGAGUGUUGCCCACUUGAUGUGCUGCUUUUUAUCGAGGUCCGCUGUGGGAUUACGUCCACUGAGAUGUGCUGAUCAGUAGAUUGAUUAUCGUCCCAUUAAAAAUCCGUACCACACGCUUCUCUUCAGCCAUAUCAUCAUGUUCAUUUUACUUCAGUUGAAGGUAGUAUCACAGUUUUAUUCUGUAACACAGAAACAUCAAACAUAUCCAGCUGUGUUCGUUUAUUUUUCUGUACCAACUGCUUUACUAAUUCAUCACUGGAUACAAAUUAUCAUCCAGUGCCAACAGCUGUUGCCCUUCAAACCCUAAAAGCAUGUAGGUAAUUAUUACAGCUCAGCGGGAAUGGCAAUAAUUUCCCUAAACAUUAUAGUACUACAAACAAUGCACACAUGUCACUGAUGGCUCAAAAUGUACGUGUCCAAUAAACCACCCACAUAGUUACCAUGGAUACUCCACCAUAAAUACGUAAAGCACAAUGAUGCGAUUUAUGCUAAUCUAUGUGAAACAUCUUUUGAAGCUGUGAUGACUCAACAGGUUAUCGGUGGAGUCUUGAUUAAACUUGAAUCAAACAAUGUUUUGGAAAUGCCCUCACUUUAUUCCUGUCUCUCUUCAGUUGAAGUAUUUUGACCUACAUGGAGAGACAGGGUGAAGUAAUGUGGUUACAUGCUGUGGGUAUGCUGGUGUGUUGGGGUUCACACUAUGUCGAUAACACAAAGAUAAAGCAUAAAAACCAUUACACAAUAACCUCGUAAUGCAAAACAGCAGAUGCAGCUUUUGAUUCUGUUAUUUUCAAACCCUUACAUGAUAAUAACUUUGAUUACAUUGAUUACCAGGCUUUUUGGCGUCCUCAUGGAAGUGACAAGACUCCUGAUGUAUUUCACAUUUUGUCAAUGUGUUUUACUUAUGGCUCUAUAGCUACAGAUUAUGUAACCUCAAUAUGACCUCUGACCCAUAACCCUAGCUAUAGUGCACAGGUUUGAUAUCUUUAUGUUCCUUUUCAUAUUAUUGUUGCACCAUCAAUUCAGUUGAACUUGAACGCCUCAGCAUGAUGCUGAGCUGAGCAUCACACAGGAAUCCUCAGAUCAAAGGGAUAAUCCAGCGUCAAAUUAAGUUAGGGUCAAACACACUGCAACACCGAGUUAGACACCCCUGAAGAGAUGAAUGUUGCCGACUGCUUGCUUCUCUAGUUAUAUCAACUUUAGUGACAACCACACAAUAACAAUACACAGUGGUUUCAGCAGCCACACACUCAACCAAAAAGCCACUCUAUAGCCACAAAUAAUGCUCAGAACAGCACCUAACUUCAUCAACAGUACAUACAGGGUCCCAGCCAUAGUACUAGCCACCAAACAUCUUUUUAGGUUUGCCUAAUUUCUUUAGCAAAGAGACUAAACACAACUCACCUACUCUCUUCCAGCAGCUGCUAGUUUGUGUGGAGACCUCAGACGAGUCCAUUACUGACUGCAGCGGGGUGACACAGCUCAAGGAAGAACAUUUAUGAUCAUUUUUUCAUGGAAAUGCAAUCAGACCGAGACGCUGUGGCAGAAGAACUACCGCGUCUGCAGUGCAAAAUGCAAAAUGAUCAAUAUGAUGAUUAUUACUUCAUGGAAAUUGUCGUGAUCUGUGUUUUGUUGAAUCCACUUCCUGUUUUAUUUUGAAGAUCCUGUUUUCCCUGUGUUGCUGUUACUUUUACUUCCGGUCUUUGUUCUUUUUCCCGCCUUAGUUAAUUACUCCAUUGGCUUCACCUGUGUCUUGUCCCCUUCUCUAUUUAACCCCUCCUCACUAGCUCUUCCCUGCCAGAUUGUCUUUGUCACUUUUGUACAAGCUCUCUCGCGUUUUUGAUAUUUCUCUGCUCUCUGUGUAUGACCUGUUUUGAUCGCCCUGGACUUCUGAUUCUUGCCUGCCCCACUGGUUUUGUCACCUGAUUAUUUGCUGCUCUGUUGAUUUUGACCCUGCUGUGUUUUUGUUGGAUUAAAAGACUUUGCCUUUUUGGAAACUGAACAACUGCCUCACGUCCUCUGCUUUUGGGUCCACACACUCUCGGCCCCUCACAGGAAAUGAUCUGCUGCACUCGGUGACGGACUCCUCAGGGCUCCCUACAAACAAGUGGCUUCUGAAGGAGAGUAGGUGAGUUGUAUUUAGUCUCUUUGCUAAAGAAAUGAGGCAAAGCUAAAAAGAUGUUUGGUGGCUCGUACUAUGGCUGGGACCCUGUAUGUGCUGUUGAAGAAGUUAGGUGCAAUUCUGAGCAUUAUUUGUGGCCAUAGAGUGGCGUUUUUUGUUUAGCGUGUGGCUCUCAGUAUUGCUGUCGUGUGGUUGUUACUAAAGUUGGUAUAACUAGAGAAGCAAUUGGUCGGCAACAUUCAUCUCUCGAGGGGGUGUCUAACUCUGUGUGUUCCGGUGUCUUUGAUGCUAACUUAAUUUGACGCUGAAAUAUCCCUUUACAUAUGACUUUAUUUUUGCACUGUCAGUUGCAUUACUAAGAAAAUUCACUAGCAUAGGUAGUGGCAUGCAUCAUUGUGUUGUGUGUGUGCAGAUGGGCGCUGAGAAUUCUUUUAUAUUACAGAUAUGUGUAUCAUCACUUCUCUUCCUCCAAACCUUCCAUCAAAUCUUAUCAUUGUGCAACAAAAUGUUCAUUUAAUCAAGCACAGUUUUACAAGUAUUUGUACCAUCAUUUAACCAAUCCAUUCAUCACACUUUACACACCCUGCCCUGGGCUGGCUUUAUAGUCAUUUGCAUUUUCAUGUCCAUCUUAUAUGAACAUAAUAAAAAAUGGAGAUAAAAAUCUGAUUGAACUAGUAUGUACACACUUUGAUUCACACUCAGCAUGUGAACUUCAGAUCUCCAAGGUGCAUAUAUGGGUCAUGCUUUGUUCAGCCCAUCAACUGAGCCCACAGUUAAUCAUCCUGUACCCUCUGAUAAAUUGGUCACAGCCACAAAGUUGGCUAGAAAUGGCUGAGAAACACACUAUGAAAGACAACAUGGAGUUUUUUUUUCCAUGGAGAGUGUUAAGUGAACAUGAAUGGUACCUUUGUCUGUUUUGGAUAAAAGGAGACACGUGUUCAAAAAAGGAAAACCUGUGAUCAAAACUUCAACAAUGGUUUGCAACUGUUCCACUGCUAUAACAGUGCUUUUAUAUCUGCAUUGCAUUAUAUUUUUAUGGCUUUAUCAAGCAAUUAGAUCAAACAUUGCAUGACGGGCCAACUGGCACCAUGAUAAAAGACACUGCUCCAGUUCAAGAAGUAGUCUGCUAAGCUUCUCUGUGUAUGUUUUACAGGGUUUGAAUACUUUGCUAUAAUAAUCUAACAAGCUAUAACAUGUAAACAUGGGAACUUUAAAGCCACUUCAUGUCUUUUUUGUUUGUUAGCUUCACAAAACUAGAGCUUUAGCUUUACUGUACUGCCAUGAAAUCAAUAUUAACCUUCAAAUCCAACUUUCUGUUGGAAGUAAAUGCUUAAAGGAGUUUUUAAUAUUUGUAAAAUAGACUAAAAUUCAUACUCAUGCCUUUUGAUAAUAAACUAAAGCAAAUAAGACCAUGAGCAACAAGAUUGAUAAUUUUUAUCAUGCGAUUUUUAAUGCCUGAAAAAAGUGUGAGGGGGGAAGGUGUCAACUGUGCAGAAGAAGCAACAGCACUGGUUUAACAAUUCCCACAUUAAAUAUUCACAGCAAAUUUGACUGGGAAACACGACUUAAGGCUCCUGUAAGGUACUUUAAGUUUCUGCCAUUUUUGUUACCCCCUGUCCUCUACGUGACUGAAUACUGUCUCUUGGCUGUUCAGCUAACACCUACCCCCUCACACCAGCUUCAGGUAUUGAAAGUUAAACUUUAAAAAUCCUCAAUCUUGUGGCUGAUGGUUCUGCUAGCUUUGGAUAUCAUGAGAAAGCAUCAAUAUUGAUUUCAUUCUACAUCAUAAAAGUCAAGAAACUCUUUAUAGAAGCUUUGAGAAAAGUAUAAUCAUUCUUAAAACCUCCCAUACAGAUGAUAAAAUGCUAACUGCACUGUGCCGCUUCAUGCUCAUAUCUAACUAUUACCAGUAAACUAACAGCUGACCCUCACCCGACCUCUGACCUCGUGACACCCACUCUAGUGAACAUACUUCAUAUUUUCAAACUGGUUUUCAAACUAUUACAGCUCUGGAAAAUCCGUUACAUUUUUACACUCAGGCUUGAAAUCGGUUGACACUAAGUCGAGCAUCACACAGAAAGUGUGACUGCUUAAUUUCUCAGAGUCAGUUGCCUGUCUUAUGAACUUUAUCGGGAAAUGUUGUGGCACGUUUCACUGCGGUGUGGGUGUGCAGAUGUGUGCUAAGUGUUGAUGUGUGAAUAAUUUCUGAUUAUGGUGGAGUAGUCUUGCUGAAUAAUGUUGCGGAAAUGUCAUUUCUUAAAAGCAGAACUGAAUUUUUAACGUGUUUGAAGGUAAAUUGAGCCUUUAUGUUAUACAGUGCAGGCACAUCAAUGCUCUUAUCAUUAUCCAUUUAGUACUCCCUGCUCUCAAGCUGUAAAGACCUAUAAGACAUAUAAGUCCAUCUUCACAUGUUCACAAGACUCUUGUGGGUGUGUGUCUUGGUUUCUGCUGUGUGUUAGCUUUCUCAUACUAGUUUCCAGAUAAAGAUUUUUUUUAAGAUACAUUGUUUAAUUCUGGGGAGGCGAAAGGUAAUUGAGGAUCUCUCUUGAGCAAACUUGGAUUUUGGCUGUUGGAGAUAAACUUGAUUUGACAUCUAUCCCAUGAUGAUGGCGCUCACAGAUAAAUGCUCCACUUCCUGCUUUUUCUGGCAGUGGACCGGAGUCACAAGCUUGCACAGGCAGCCAUGGGGUUGAUUAUCUUGCAGCUCCAUGGCCACGCUCCAUACGGAAACAUCACUGUGUCUCCUCUUUGUGCUGUGUUGCGAGGCAGGCAGGAUCCUGGCACAGCCUGCGGACUUCCACUGUGAGCUUUUUAUGGUCAGCCUGAAUGGAGCACUGAUGAAAAAUGGAGAUCACUUCAGGCCCCACUGUUCUUGUCAGAUUUUGCUCCUGGGAACCACAUUUAUUAAAAAAAGUUUUUUCAUGUCUUGUGACCCACACUGAUUUCUUGUGCCAAUUUCUAUGCUAAUCUGUGAAAAUGUAUCCCUAUACUUACUGGAUACAAAGCAGGCUGCACUUCCAGGUUGUGUUUUAUUCACACUUUCCUUCAUAGAGGAAAGAAGCACUGAACCUACAUAUUUGUAUUUGCAGUUCUUGGAUGGAUCAAUUUGCAUUCCCUCCGUUCCAUCCUACAACUCUCAGUCCCACAUUGUAUUAACCCUUGUGACCUCCUACGUUUUAGACUGUGGUGUGACUCCAAACUGUGCUUGCAGAGGCUUUCUCCUGAGACAAUACACCUAGGAAUGAACACUCAUUCUAACAUUCAUGUGCAUACAUGCAGGUGCACACAGAAAUAUGGGGACAUGGGUCACAUCAUUAAUGCAGCCUCACAGAACCAGGCCAGAUCCAGUGCUCUUUACGGCACACACUGAAAAUGGACUGUGCGUGUCUGUCAGACUUUCAUCACCUGCCACAGCUCCUCAAGUUUGUAUUUUUCCUUCUCUGUAAUCCGCCCCUGAAAUCCCAGUCAAUAUGUUUGUACUGCGAGAGUGUGUGGGAGGCAGGGGGAGUGAAAAGGGGUGAGGAAGACUGUUUGAUUAAAAGACUGUAUUGACAGAUAUGAGCAAACAGGAACAAAUCUGUGCACUGCACAACAUAAUGGUUUGUAAAAUCAGGGUAGGGUGUAUGUUAGCAUGUCUCUGUUGGUACAUGAGUACUCCAUGUGUGUUUAUGUGGGUGUGUUUGACAUAUGUUGGUAAGUGGUGGAGUAUUUCUGUCAUACUGUGUCUCCGCCUGCAGUGAAAGCCGAUAGCAUCCUGUGGUUAAAUCAUUUUACUCAGUGGAGAGUAUUGAAAGAAACACUAAAGCUACAGUUAAGACUUUAACUCACUGGCAAGACCUCACAUGUGACCUGAGACAGGCCGAAAAACCAGAGAGAACACAAGCGGGAAAAGAUUUCAGGAUUUCAGGCUGUGUAAACUCAAAGCUCAAGUGGUAGACAGCCUACUCCAAUAUAAGAACAUUAGUUGUGUGUAAGUGAUUUACUGUAUGCGUAUGUCUAAAAGCCUUUUUUUCACCAAGGGGACUUUUCCAAAAACCUUUCUAAGAAUCCAGGAUCUUGACUUGUUUUGCCUCAGAGGAGUCAGGGUCUUAAUUUGUGUCUAAGCAACAGAAAGUCCCUGCUUUAUGAGAAAUAUGGGUAUUUACUCUUUUUGCCAGGACUUCGAUAAGAGGAGUGAUAACACUGUCAAGCCUAUUCAGUAAACACGAAGCUGCUGCCAGAAGCUAGCUUGCAUAACUUUGCAAAAAUACUGAGAACAUGGGGGAUCAGAUAGCUCGGCUUUGGCUUCACUUCUUGGAGUCUCAGAUGGUUGCCCAGCAAAGUGAUGAUCAUGAUUGCCCGAUACCAAAAGUUAUUUUAGGACAUGAAGACUUUAAGAGCACAAAUUCUACACAUAUGAACUUUGGUGCACUAUACUUUGUAAAUGUAAAAGGUUUUUGCAUCUGGCAUCUUUUAUUCUCUCUUUAGAUACAAUCUGGUAAAAAUGGCGCACAUGUGAUACUACCAAAGUGACCAAAAUCAAUCUAUUUGUGGGUGUUGUGUGUGCCUAGUUGUGGAUGCAUGAGUGAAAUAAGUCAUAUUUUUAUCUCAUGCUCACUCUAGUGAUGUGAUUUCACUCACCAUGGGUAUGUAUGCGUGUGUAUGCAAGGAGCGCAUGAGAUGGGAUUCACUCUUGACAAGCAAAAAGCAGCUUAUCAGCUAGGGCACAUGUGAAGAGAAAGAAGUUGUCUGACCAGGGAGGGCAAUGUGAAAGUGUGGAUGCAGGGAGCUGAAAAUGUCACAGUGAGGAAGAAAGAAUGUUUAGGCAGUGAAGGAUGAGAAGAGAAAUGCAAUCUGGGCCCAGACAGAGGUGUAACAGACCAAUUUGUUUGUGGUGUAAUGGAGAGAAGAUGGGUUGGCUCGGGUGAUAAGUUGGCCAGGUCUGGGCCAGGCUGGACUGGGAGGAUAAGAGAGGUUCUGAGGUCUGUGAGAAAAACAUUCAGAUAGACAAAUAUGUGGUGCAGCCGAAAAAAGAAAGGUGAAGUUAAAAGGAACAAAAAGCUGUAGAUGUGAUAUAUCAGCAAUAUAAAGCGGACAGCUUAUUUACAGAGCUGUUUUAAGUCCGGGGGAAGUUCAAGUCAAAAUCUCAAAGAAUUCAAUAUACAUCCGAGCCAAGUCUGAAGUCUUACCUCAAGUCACACAAGGUACAGCCCAGAAACAGCACAAGAAACCAAUGUGGCUGCCAUGUUGGCAUGCUGUUUAUUAGGAUAAGCAUAUGGGUUUGGUGUAAGGCCAACCAGAUGUUGAGAGCGGGGCGAUGGCUUCUGCAAACUGACCCCUAGCUACAGAGACUGGGUUUGUGUUAAAUAUUCUCAGCUUUCAUGCCCAAGGAGUCAAAGCUGCUUCAAUAAUAUACCAAUAGUGUUUUUAUGAACAACUGUUAAAGCUUUCACAAAGACAAACUAAGACUCAGACCUUUGCAAAACACAUCUGCUUCAAGAACUUUUGUACAGAGUGUCUGCUGUUGUGUUGGAUGGUAGAUUUCUGUUGUUGGUGAGUGAGGACCUGAAAAGUCAAUUUGCCAGCAAAGUAGAAACAAUCUAUUGCCAUUCAGUUUUAAUACAACCAAGUUUUUUUUCUAUCUUUUCUACAAGGUCUACUGAGCCCUUUACUCUUCCUCAGCUUUUUGGUACAUUUUAUUCCAUGGAGAGUUUGACCAAAACAGAGAAAAGAAGUGCUCCGAGCUCAUGUGCUUUAACAGCCUGCUAACUGUCCUUGAACAGCCUGUCAGCUUAGUUACUAAUAGGGCAAAGUUUGUAGGUUACAUCAUGGUGCAUUUUGAUUUCACUGCCAUCUCGCAUCGAAGUGGCAGGUAGCAGUUACAUAUCAAAAAUAACAGCAGCCUGUCCCACACCAUUGCCUCCUAAUUCCUGGAGCGUUUCACCCUGGACACCAAAACAAAAUAAAUAAAUAAAUAAAACAAGACAAAAAAAUAAAUUGCCAGAAAUAUUUGUUAAGUGGACGUCACUUUUUCGAAGAAGCACAGACUGGAUGUUUCUCUUUUAAUAGUCUAAGACACUCAGCUUGACAAACCAAAUUUACAGCCACACAAACACUUCAUCUUUCUCUCUCCCUCCUCCUCUCCUGUCAUAAAACGAUAGAGCAAACUCUGACCAUGACACACAUUAAAACAGAAUCAUCCGUCUUACGUUGGCAUUAGUUAUGUUUGAAGCCAAGACAAAAAUAUGGAUUGAGUUGAUAUAUUCAUUGAAUGUUUCAAGUUUUUUUUUUUUUGAUUUUUAUUUAUUUAUUUAUUUAUUUUUAUGGAGAGAAUAGGAAAAGGGUUAAUGCAAGAAACUGGUCGGGGGGAUGAUAUGCAGCAAUACACAAUGGUUUGUGUCACACUCAGACCACCUGCUUUAUAGUCUGUAUAGAUGGGAUGUAUGAGAAUUAACUGUUUGGCUGAAGUGGUUAGAGUGUUGAAUAGUUAUGUUUAUUUAAAGGUGAUAGUUAAAUAAAGUCAUUAAAACUCCCAUGUGACUAAGUGGUUGGUGCCUUUUGACCUAAAAAUCUCACCCUGCUGAUUUUGGACAGUCAAACCUACAAUUUAUCAUGAAUUAGGGUGACCAUAUUCUGACUUGCCAAAAGAACGUAGAAGUUAAUUUUGAGAAUUUUCGAAUGUCUUUUAUGCGCUUCUGACUCGGUAAGGUCAAACUCAAAACUUAGGUACAAAACUGCAGACAUUUGAAGCAUUUUAUAAACUUCCCCAGACAAAGCCGGACAAAGCUGGACACCCCCCCAAAAAGAGGACAUGUCCGGGUAAAAGAGGACGUAUGGUCGCCCUAUUAUGAAUAUUAUCUAAGAAAAUGUGCUUGGCUAUCAUCUACCCCCCUGAACUUGUUUCAGGCAUUAAAAAUAUUGACAUUCAAUCUUAUCAUUGAUGGUCUUGUUUACUUUUGGAUAUCAUAAAAAGGCAUCUUUAUAAACUCCAAUCUGUUUCAUUAACAUUAAAAAAUCUCCUCACAGGAACUUUAAUUGAUCCAACCAAAUAGCUGUUAGUUAAGCAGCUUUAAUUAUUAUAUUCUAUUCUUUUCAUUGAAAACUCAUCAUUAAGGCCAACUGAAGAUCUGCCCUUCUCAUUGUAUGAAGCCAUCAUUUAGAGAAAUUAAAGUGGGUCAUGAUGCUUUUGCAUUAUUCUCGCACAAAGGGUCAUCCCACUUGCUUUCAAUAGCAGUCUCAUGGUGGUCAAUAAACACCGCGUAGUCACUGCAGGACCAGCAUGACCACUGUACAUGUUGACUUAGUCCUAAAUAUUCCCAUUUAAAAUUAACUAAAAAAAAAAAAGAAAACAAAGUGGCUUAGAGCUGAUAUUUUUUCAGCUGUGCUGGUGAACACUACCGCAGGAAAGAAGCCUGAAGAUGCAUGAUUUUAUCCUGAAAUAUGUCCGAUGUUUGGUGUUCAAACAAAUAAAGUUGGGGGUUUUGAGUAUCAGCUUUCUAUGCCAAGGCACAGUUUUUGUUUUAUUUGGACUACAGCAAAGUCUUUUUCAGCAGUACUGCUAUGGGCAGACUGGAUUGACAGCUGGUGUUACUGGGAAGAGCAGGAGAGUCGGAGCAAAGGGUCAGGCCAUGAGGUCAGGAGUUGUCCCACCAGGAGAGGACGAAGGGAAGAGGAAAGGAGGAGAGGAGGAAAGUGAUAUGGGAGGAAGGGACUGGGAUCACUGACACAUGGAGAUGGAAGAGGGGAUAGGAAGGGAGGGUGGAGAGGAUAAGGGCAGAAAGGUGACACGUUCAGACAGACAGAGAGAGAGAGAGAGAGAAAGAGGGAUGGGGGAAAGAUGGAGAAAAGGAUGAGUGGGGUAGUGGAUGCUGCUGAUACACCGGUUUGACCUUGCAGACAGGCUGUGGUCACAGUUUGUGUGUGUGUGGGUGUGUGUGCGCACACCUAAAGGAUGUGUGUCUGAGUGAGUGUUUCUUUUAUUCCUGUAUGAACUGUGCUUUAUUUGCCAGGCAGGGUCAAGGCCACACAGACGCACACAAACAAGAUCAUCCAUUACACCACAGAGAAGUCCCACCAAUCACAACUGCAGCCAACAAAUCAAUGAUUAAAACUUUGUGCAUGGAUGAUUGGACAGAGUGCCGAUGGAAGGGUUUAGCUGUGUUUCUACUGUAAAACUUCCUUUUUUGUAUAUAAAAUAAAAAACAACAACCUGUUGGCUGCUAUGACAUCUCUGGCUCAGUCUUCAGGAGCAGUGUAGGGGGGGUCUGACAGCGCAGGAAAAAAACUACUCUCUCUAUAAAUGUAGCUGUAAAUUUACAAGGACUUGUGUUUAUUUGGAUUACAGCUGCUGUAUGGGUUUCUCUGCAUUUGUAGGUCUCUAAACUCUCGGGUUUCAGGUAGAGUCUUUCCUCUCCAUGUAGUUCAUUAUUCAUGGUUUGUUAACCAGCAGUUAGCCCUCCAAAGACAGACCUAUUUCUGCACUACUUUGUGCCAGCGCUGGAGAAAGGUCUGGCUCACAUAAUUCCUCACUAGGGGACUUAAACACUGUGGGUUAUUUGUUUUUCUUAAUCCAUUAUCUCCUUAGUUGGUUGGUGCUGAACCCAGACUGCAGGAGUAUUGCCAUCACUUUGAGAAGGAUUUGCUGAGAAAAUUCAGUUGCCAAAGGAAAUGCUAAUUCGGGCUAUAGAAACAUAUGAUACUUAGUCAUGGGAGAAGUACGACCCGCCAUAUGGCCAUUACAGCCUAAAAUCUUCUGGCUUGAAAGUGUUUGUUCCACGCUGGGGUUUUAAAAACUUUUACAUGCAGAUAUUGCAAGAAUACAAACAGCCCUAGGGUGUCAAGGGCAAACUUAUGUACACACACCGUCUGUACUCAGCGAACAGACUGAAGAGAGGUCGAGUGACAGAUGAGCCGUCAAAACGAGAACAUUGGCGCCCCAACUUCAUCAACUGGGCAACAAACUGGCACCCCAAACACAAGAAUUCUGCCAAAUACAAAUUUUUUGAUUAUAAUAUGCUUAGCUUGUUUAAUGAACACACUGCAGACAUUAAAAACCAUGCUCAGAGACAACAGCCAAUGAAGUAGUGUUUACCAAGACAGUUGAAGACUUUCCAUGGUGAGCAGCUGCAAGGAACAAACAAACAAACAAACAACAUAUUUGGUCCUUAUACUUCAGAAACAAAUGGGUACAAAUGUUUAAAUAUAACAUCUUGAAUAGAUUGUCGGUAAGUGAAUAAAUUUCAGUAAGAGAAGUCGAUGUUGGAGUGCCAAAAACUACUGUUCCUCAGGUGCCUGCUAGAGUCGAGCUGCACCACGUACACAUGAAGCCAAAAAAACAGUUUUUAGGGCAAAAAUAAACAUGUUUACAGCCUGGUACAAACAAAGAUUCGGUCCAAACAGCUCAAAGCCUCCAUGACAUCCACUGUAUGGGGAAUAACUUCUUUUUGUACCACCUUUAUCUUGAAGUUCUUGAGGCUACAUGAUCUGCGAAUCAGAGGCAAGGCUAACUCUGGUAAGGUUGACCUAAAGUUAGGCAUUACUAACUUGACAAUCACUGCCAUGAGGCUUCAGAACUCGAUUAUAGAAAUAAAUGGGUGAUGUUGAUAAUUCUGCGUCAGGUUAUUAUGUAGUCUUUGGUCUAUACACACAAAGACCCACACCUAUCUACUAGGGGUGGGAAUCAACAGUGACCCCACGAUAUGGUAUCAUCACAAUACUUGGGCCACGAUACAAUGUUAUUGUGGUUUUUAACAUUUUGCAAUACAGUGAUUAUUGCAAUACAAUAUAUUGUGAUUCAUACCGUUUUUUUCAAUUGUUAAGGCAAUGUAGCAUUUGUAUUUCCUUUAUAUUUGUCUUAUUUACACUAUAUUUUAUUUUCAUGUAGCACAUCUUGCUAACCUUAUGUUUCAGGUGUGACGCAUAAGGUUAAUUCUUUAUGUCUUUCCCCUGAUGCGUCUAUAUUUGUUGUACUAACUUUCUCCUGCUCUAUGAUGUCACCUCUGCCAACCUCUCAGGACAAACAGUUGAUUUUGUUUUUUCCAUUAUCAUAGAUUUGACUUCAUAUUAACAAUGAAUUUGAAAAAAAAUCGACACUUGGUCAGUGAGACAAUACGAUAUAUCACCAGACAAAAAAUCGUGAUACUAUGCUGUAUCUAUUUUUUCUCCCAUUCCUACUAUCUACCAGGUUUCUGAUUGUGUGCCUGCUGUUGUAUAAAUUCUUCUGGUGAACAUGAUUGAAUAUAAAAAGUCUACUCCAGGUCUACUCCGGGUCAUAAAUACUCUUCAGCUUCUGAACUUAUUGUUUUGGGUUCUGUUUGUAACUCUUGUGCCUCUCUUGUGCAUUGCGGCCACUGCCACGCUGGAACAUAUUGACCAUUAUUUGAUUAAUGAUGGUGGCCAUCUCUACUGCAAUCAUCUCUCAUCCUCCAGUAAUCAUGGCCUCACACGCCCAUCUGUCUGCUCUACUUUCAAUCCACAGCAUCUACCUGACAACCUGUCUUCAGCCCGAGCCUCGGUAAUGAUCCGAUCUGCCCUUGUUUCUUGGUGUAAAAAUAGUCGGAUACAUAAUUAACAUCAUCGCUCAUAACAGCUCCAAUAACUGACUGUCUUCGGUGGGAUGACGGAUGAGGGUUUGCCUCAUCUGAAGGCACAAUGAUGUUAGUCCGAAAAACUACUCAAUCACUCUGUCUUUACACUUCCUGCAUGGCAAUUGGAGGGUUGCCAAACACUGCUGCGGUUCUUUAUUUGCACUCAAUUUAGAUGGUUUGGUACCCGGACUGGUGUGUGUCUGUGUAUGUGUGCAUUCAGUCUCAGGUCUCCUCUGUCUCUCUUAUUACUUUCUUAUUCACUCCUUUCUGUCUGACUCUGUUUUCCCCGUCUGCUGCCUUUUUUUUCUGUCCUCGUCUCUCUCUCUCUCUUGCAGGUUUUCUUCUGUAAAACUCUGCCUCCCUGUCUUUGUCUCUCAUGUCAUGUCCUUCUUCUGCCUCUUGACUUAUGGUUUUACUUGGCAAUCCUUCCUGGCUGUCGGUCUGUCCAGGUCGAGGGCUUUGUGGAGUUCACUGCAUGCUAACAGAGCCCACUCAGAUCUUUGCUGUGGAUUCUGUGUCCUCUGACUCAAAGCAAAAGGCUCAGGACAGGCUCAUUAUUUGCCACACAGCCAGUGGUGGUCUCAAUCAGAUCUGCAAUAUGACUUUGUUUAGCUUGGCAGUAGCCCAGCUGACUCAUUAAAACCUGAAACCUUUGAUGGCGUAUCCAUCACUAAAGCCACAGGUGGGAUGACAUAAAUAUGUUGUUUAUUCUGAGAGAAGUCGAGUUUUUUCUGCUCCAAAAGAAAGAUUUCAGCUUUUCGGUCAGCAGGCUCACAAAAGUGAACACAGAGUUUGUUGCUUUUUUACUUCAGUUGUACUUUUAUUUCUUCACAAGCGUGGUAUGUUCAAGUCCUCCAGGAUUUUACAGAGGGCUUAUUUCCUGUUUUUGUUUAAGCCAAAAAUGCUUUCCCUUGUACUUUGAAUAUGUAAGGAGUAAGAUUGGAGCUAAAAACGCCACAGUGUGAAGUUUACAAAAAGGCCGUGGAUAAGAAAACACUAUGAGGGCAGUUUUUGUGCUUUGAUGAAUAUUGUGCAGAAAUCUUUGCUGUUCUUAUUACCUUAUGGAGGUUAUGUUUUCGGUAGCGUUGGUUUGUUUGUUGGUUUGAUUGUUGGUUUGUUUGUUUGUUUGUUUGUUAGCAACUUUAUAAAGAAAGAUACAGAUGGAUUGACCUGAAAUUUUCACCAGAGGUGCGUCUCAACCCCAGGAGGAUCCCAUUAAAUAUUGGUGGUGAUCUGGAUCGCCUUCUGGAUCCAGGAAUAUUUUGAAGGAUUCUUUAUCAUUGUGAGAUCGGGCAAAUUUUGGAAUUUUUGCAUUUAACUCUAUAAAAAUGGCCAGAGUCUUUAGUAACAAAUGACACAAAAGGAUCUCAAUGAGUUUUAUGAGGUGUCAAAGGUUGAUCCUGAUCCAGACAAAAUUCCGGAUACUGUGAUCCAGAAAACACAAAAAUAAGGGUGUCGUUGGAAUUUUCAAUGCUGAAAGAUAACCAAUAGGUGGCACAGUGGUGUAGAUGGGUGGUACAGUGGUGUAGUGGUUAGCACUGUCACCUCACAGCAAGAAGGUCCUGGGUUUGAAUCCGGGUCAGGGCAUUUCUUGUUUUAGGAACAUUAUGAACAGUGAACAUACCAGUUUAAACACAAAUAAAAGUUAAUAAAAG